CCAGACGUCAACACCAGAGACGAGUUGGCCGGCCGUCUGCAGCUGACGGAGGGACGAAUACAGAUUUGGUUCCAGAACCGCCGAGCAAAGUGGAGAAAGUCAGAAACACUGAAGGAAAUCGAGGUGAUGAGCAGGCGGCGGAUAUGUUCAGCCACUCAUCCUCUGCUUUAUUACGAGGAGCCGCCGCUUGAGCCGCUGCGCUGGCUGAGCUGCUGGACGCCUGAACCAUCCAGGCUGUUUUUCAGAUCCUCUGCAACACAAGGCAGCACACACAGCCACAGGAGUGUCUGCUCCCACCUGCACGGGACGCAGCGAUAGCCUCUCUUACUGUCUCACAACGUUCACAGCUUUAAAAAUCUUUUUUAUAUAAAAUGUAAAAAAAAAAACAAUUGUGGAGUUUUGAACCAGGUUCUGUGAAAUUUAACCUUAAAUCCCAGAAUAUCUGACAUUGUGCAGAGCGCAUGCAGCUACAAAUGUUUAGCAUUUUCCAAUAAACUGAAUUUCUGAAAUGAAUUUUGCAUUUUCUUUAAAUUUUGCAGCUAAAUCUGUACAGAUGAAGCUUUGAAAGCAGCUUGUUCCACAUGUCUCUCACCAGAAACCGCUGUGUUGUUAUGGAGAUCAGCAUUUAGCCUUUUUCAUGACACCACACUUCCUUGUGAAAGAUAAGAUAAGCCCAUGUCAUGAAAAGUUCAUCUGUUUGACUUUCUGACAACCUCUCCUUAUCUUAAUUUGGACUUGUAAGACGAGGUUAUUCACAGGUCAGCUCAGUGAUUUGGAGGCCUUGUCAAAUCAGUCCAAAGGCAAAAAUAUCACCUGGUAGAAUAUCUUUACAAAUAGAAGCUCAUGUUAAUGCUGGAAAACUUCUUCAAAGCAUAUUCUCUAAAAAUGCCACUUUGCUUCAGAAAGUCGAGCUUAACAAAAGUUUCUGCUUGUGCAAUAAUCUAAACAGUUCUCAGUUCUGCUUUAUGUAAAUAAUUUCAAGUCCUCAGACAGAUAGGAAAACACCACCCUGCAGAUCAAUUCAGCAACUGAUUUGACGGAACCAGAACUGAUUGCAGGUUUAUGAGAACGGCUCAACUUUUCACCCCGGCCGUAUCUUUUGUUUACUGCCUGAGUGAGAAAUUUAUCAGCGCUUCACAGAGUUAAAGAGGACAGAAAUAGUUGGCAGCGAGCAGCACAGAAAACCUUGACCACUGUUGUGUAACAGCAAACGAUCACAAUGAAACUUUAUAAUUAAUUAGUGAUAAUUGUCAGACAUCAAAUGCUUUGAUUUGUUGAAAGCAAAAAUAAAACAUGCAGCUGUAGAAAUUA